rnacentral:lncRNA from 1 species
UGAAAGGGGUGGGAAGCAGGGAGAUCACCCCCUGGGAAGCUCUCUGUGGAAUUUACUUUCAAAUGGGGCUGCUCUGAGUCUGAGCAGUCACUGCUGGGGUUUGGGGUUGCCAUGAAAUUAUAGUUGUAUUCUGUCUCUGUCAAGUCCUGAGGCUUCAGAAGAAGAAAAUGAAGAAAAGAUGUUGGGGAGAAGAACAGAGUCAUGUACUUAAGUAAUGAAAGAAGAGUGUGUGGUCAGGCGCAUGCACACACACACACCCACACACCCACACACUCUUUCCCAGUCUGCAGAGCCCUGCCCUGGUGUUUGCUCACCUGAAAGAUAAGCUCUCAAUCUUGAGUCCUGACAAGGAGAUGUGAGAAAUCCUUCAAAGUUUGAGUAUCUGUGGCCAAGAGAAAACAAGUCUGUGGUCUGUGACUGGUGAUCGCCAUGGAAGUAUCAGAACCAAGCCAUAAUGGGAGACAGGAAAAAGAGGAACAAGGGGCAGGAGACUGCAAGUCUGAGGAAGUGGGUCUCACACCCACAGCGCUGAGUGAUGAGAUGUAUGCAGGUGAAGACUGUGGAGAAGGAGCAGCAGCUGCCUGAGAAGGGCAAUGGCUUCCUCCAAAUCUCCAUGUGAUUGAAGGUGCAGUGACCAAGUCAGGGC